AAUGAACGCUGGCGGCAUGCCUAACACAUGCAAGUCGAGCGAGCGGCGGACGGGUGAGUAAUGUAUGGGGACUGCCCGAUAGAGGGGGAUAACUAUUGGAAACGGUAGCUAAUACCGGAUAAUAUAGGCUAACCCAUAGGGGAUUAGCUAGUAGGUGAGGUAAUGGCUCACCAAGGCGACGAUCCCUAGCGGGUCUGAGAGGAUGAUCAGCCACACGGGGACUGAGACACGGCCCAGACUCCUACGGAGGCAGCAGUGGGGAAUAUUGCACAAUGGGCGCAAGCCUGAUGCAGCCAUGCCGCGUGUAUGAAGAAGGCCCUAGGGUUGUAAAGUACUUUCAGUCGGGAGGCGUUACCGACAGAAAAAGCACCGGCUAACUCCGUGCCAGCAGCCGCGGUAAUUC
rnacentral:rRNA from 1 species